rnacentral:rRNA from 1 species
GAUUAUGGCUCAGGAUGAACGCUAGCGGCAGGCUUAACACAUGCAAGUCGAGGGGCAGCGGGAUGUAGCAAUACAUUGCCGGCGACCGGCGGAUGGGUGCGUAACGCGUAUGCAACCUACCUUAUACAGGGGAAUAACCUUUCGAAAGGGAGACUAACACCCCAUGGUAUUGAUUUAAGGCAUCUUAGAUUAAUUAAAUAUUUAUAGGUAUAAGAUGGGCAUGCGUAUGAUUAGCUAGUUGGUAAGGUAACGGCUUACCAAGGCGACGAUCAUUAGGGGUUCUGAGAGGAAGGUCCCCCACACUGGUACUGAGACACGGACCAGACUCCUACGGGAGGCAGCAGUGAGGAAUAUUGGUCAAUGGGCGCAAGCCUGAACCAGCCAUGCCGCGUGCAGGAAGACGGCCUUAUGGGUUGUAAACUGCUUUUACAUAAGACUAACCGUAUAUUUGCGAAUAUACCUGAAUGUAUUAUGAGAAUAAGGAUCGGCUAACUCCGUGCCAGCCGCCGC